CUAGUCUUACCCUACUCCGGAGAGGUGAGCUCCAUCCAAAUUGAAAGUAACCGGGCAACCCAGAUUUCAAUUCUCGAUACCUGACUACCACUCCCUCCACCUUUCCUGACAGCGAUCUAUUGCGAGCGGGUUGCAAGCGUGCUGCCACUGCCGCCGGGGUAUAAUCUCCGACCAAACCAACAUUUCCCUGGGAAGCAGGUCCCUCAACCUGUUAAUGUCCUGCUUCAUCCACUUCACCAGCUGACACUGCGGUACGAGGCCCAGAUCAUUACACCCGGCAUGUAAGACAAUAUAAUCAGGCCUCCCCACACCCGAUACCAUCCAAAACACAGCAUUACAUUCC